rnacentral:rRNA from 1 species
CAAAGAACUUUGAAGAGAGAGUUCAAUAGGACGUGAAACCGGAUAGAUAAUAACCGUACGGCCGGCACUAGCGGGAGAGAUUCAGCAGUUUAUCUGCGCGUUUCUUUCUUGUGUCUUGCAGCAAUAGAGGUUUUGCGCACCUGUGUUUUGGUGGCUGUUCGCAGUGUCUCAAACUCAGGGAAGCUUAACAACUGUUGGAAAAAGACCUCUCGAUCUAGAAGUGUUACGCUGCGUGUCUCCAUUAUGUUUAGCUUUCGGGCUAGGCUAGUAGGGAUAUGUAUGUGUGGUAUCAUAGACGAUGUCGCAAGGUUUGUGUCAGCUGUAUGACCCGUCUUGAAACACGGACCAAGGAGUCUAAAUUGUGCACAAGUGAUUGGAGUUAAACCUCCAAACGCGAAAUGAAAGUAAUUGUGAGACUUACUCUAAGCAGUCUAAGCAUCACAGGCGUGUACCAAGUUAUCUUGGUGCCCAGAAUGAGUGCAUGGAUUAGUACCCGAAAGAUGGUGAACUAUGCUUGAGCAGGACGAAGUCAGAGGAAACUCUGAUGGAGGUCCGAAGCGGUUCUGACGUGCAAAUCGAUCGUCAGACUUGAGUAUAGGGGCGAAAGACUAAUCGAACCAUC